AUCAGCGGCCUCUUGCGGCGUCGCGUCAGAUCGGUCGAUCUGUGGUGAAGAGAAACGCUCUCUCUGAGAGGCGCCGAAACAGGAGUCGAAACUUCUCUCUGCCCAGCCUUAGAGUGGUGGUGGGGAUUCGAAAUGUCAAAGAAUGAUGAUGAUCAGCAGUUUACUAUUGACAAUGCAAUUAAAAAUAUGGAUAACAUGUCAUCUGAACUGAAUAAACUUAUGGUAAAAACCGAACUGCUGCUUUGUGAUCUUAUUCUGAACUUCAGUCAUCCAGCUCUAACAGAUGUUUCAACAGAAGCGGAUGAAAAGAAACCUGAGGAGUCCACAAAUAUGUGAGUUCCAUUUAUUGUCCCUCUUCAUUAACACUUCGUCAGUAGUUGGUGCUACGUUUAAAAGGGCAAGUUGAAAGAUAAAAUAAAAUUUAUCUUUCCUAACUUUUUAUGCCCCUGGACCAUAUUGUUCCUUUGAGACACUUUACGAAGUAUGUCAAGUGUUGAGUUUUUGAAUGGCACGCUAUAUUUGAUUACUAAUUACAUUACUGUUUUUGUGUAGUUGGCAUUGGUGUGUUAAGUUAG